rnacentral:rRNA from 1 species
AUUGAACGCUGGCGGUAUGCUUAACACAUGCAAGUCGAACGGUAACAGGCCUUCGGGCGCUGACGAGUGGCGGACGGGUGAGUAACGCGUAGGAAUCUGCCUCAUAGUGGGGGACAACGUGGGGAAACUCACGCUAAUACCGCAUACGCCCUACGGGGAAAGCGGGGAUCUUCGGACCUCGCGCUAUGAGAUGAGCCUGCGUUAGAUUAGCUAGUUGGUAGGGUAAAGGCCUACCAAGGCGACGAUCUAUAGCUGGUCUGAGAGGACGAUCAGCCACACUGGGACUGAGACACGGCCCAGACUCCUACGGGAGGCAGCAGUGGAGAAUAUUGGACAAUGGGCGAAAGCCUGAUCCAGCAAUGCCGCGUGAGUGAUGAAGGCCUUAGGGUUGUAAAGCUCUUUUACCAGGGAUGAUAAUGACAGUACCUGGAGAAUAAGCUCCGGCUAACUCCGUGCCAGCAGCCGCGGUAAU